rnacentral:rRNA from 1 species
UACGGGGGGGCAAGCGUUGUUCGGAAUUACUGGGCGUAAAGGGCUCGUAGGCGGCCAACUAAGUCAGACGUGAAAUCCCUCGGCUUAACCGGGGAACUGCGUCUGAUACUGGAUGGCUUGAGUUUGGGAGAGGGAUGCGGAAUUCCAGGUGUAGCGGUGAAAUGCGUAGAUAUCAGGAGGAACACCUGUGGCGAAAGCGGCUCACUGGACCACAACUGACGCUGAUGCACGAAAGCUAGGGGAGCAAACAGG